rnacentral:lncRNA from 1 species
CACAGAAAAAUUAUAUUAAAAGAGGGUAGCAAGAAGGCAACCCGAAGCAUACAGGGAGUAUACACGAGAAGCCCCAUAAACAAAAAGCAAAAAGAAGCAUACACUCACCAACCCUCAAUUAGAGCCCAACCAAUCUACAAAGUUAAUUAAGGAGCGGGGCUCUCCAUCUAAACAAGACUUAGUCCAAGAGGAAAGAUUACAAACGAAGGAGAUUUUCAAUCUUUGGAUCGACAAAGCCUCAUUAUCAAAAACUAUCCUAUUUCUUUCUUUCCACAUCGUCCAAAAUAAACAAAGGGGGGCUGCCCGCCAAAUCUUCCCAGGCUUCUUGUCUACAAAGGAAGCGGACCAGCCAAGGAGAGUGUCUUUAACCGUGAGCUGAAGGACCCAAUUAACCCUAAACAACGUAAACACAAGAUUCCACAACACCCUCGCCUUGGGGCAAUGAAUAAGGAUGUGGUUAAUUGUCUCCUCAUCAUCACAACAUAAGAAGCAUCUGUUUGCUAGAGACCAGCCCCUCAUUUGAGAUGAUCUUUGGUUAAUACCUUCCCCCAAGAAGCUUCCCAAACAAAAAAACCCACCUUAGUAGGCACGCAAGGGCUCCAUAUGAUUCUCCACGGAAACGGGACUGCACCACCAGAAUCAAGAGAAUUGUAAAGGGAUUUUACAGAGAAAAUCCCGUUCUUAGAAGCAUUCCACACCACUCUAUCCUCCAUCCCAACAUUGAGCCUCUUUCCUUGAAGGACCGAAAGGAGACUCGCCACCGCCUCC